rnacentral:rRNA from 1 species
AACGAACGCUGGCGGCAGGCUUAACACAUGCAAGUCGAACGGUUGUAGCAAUACAGCAGUGGCAGACGGGUGAGUAACACGUGGGAACCUUCCUAGGGGUACGGAACAACUCAGGGAAACUUGAGCUAAUACCGUAUACGUCCGUGAGGAGAAAGAUUUAUCGCCCUUAGACGGGCCCGCGUCGGAUUAGCUAGUUGGUGGGGUAACGGCCUACCAAGGCGACGAUCCGUAGCUGAUCUUAGAGGAUGAUCAGCCACACUGGGACUGAGACACGGCCCAGACUCCUACGGGAGGCAGCAGUGGGGAUUCUUGGACAAUGGGCGCAAGACUGAUCCAGCCAUGCCGCGUGAGUGAAGAAGGUCUUCGGAUUGUAAAGCUCUUUUGCCAGGGACGAUAAUGGCGGUACCUGGAGAAUAAGCCCCGGCAAACUUCGUGCCAGCAGCCGCGGUAA